rnacentral:rRNA from 1 species
GACGAACGCUGGCGGCGUGCUUAACACAUGCAAGUCGAGCGGUAAGGCCCUUUCGGGGGUACGACGAGCGGCGAACGGGUGAGUAACACGUGGGUGACCUGCCCUCAGCUCUGGGAUAAGCCUGGGAAACCGGGUCUAAUACUGGAUAUGACUCCAUGACGCAUGUUGUGGGGUGGAAAGCCUUGUGCGGCUGAGGAUGGGCCCGCGGCCUAUCAGCUUGUUGGUGGGGUGAGGCCUACCAAGGCGACGACGGGUAGCCGGCCUGAGAGGGCGACCGGCCACACUGGGACUGAGACACGGCCCAGACUCCUACGGGAGGCAGCAGUGGGGAAUCUUGCGCAAUGGGCGAAAGCCUGACGCAGCGACGCCGCGUGAGGGAUGACGG